rnacentral:rRNA from 1 species
GACGAACGCUGGCGGCGUGCUUAACACAUGCAAGUCGAACGGAAAGGCCCUGCUUUUGUGGGGUGCUCGAGUGGCGAACGGGUGCGUAACACGUGAGUAACCUGCCCUUGACUUUGGGAUAACUUCAGGAAACUGGGGCUAAUACCGGAUAGGAGCUCCUGCUGCAUGGUGGGGGGUGGAACGUUUCGGCGGUUGGGGAUGGACUGGCGGCUUAUUAGCUUGUUGGUGGGGUAGUUGCUUACCCAGGCGUUGACCGGUAGCCGGCCGGAGAGGGUGACCGGCCACACUGGAGCUGAGACACGGUCCAGACUCCUACGGGAGGGAGCAGUGGGGAACAUUGGACAAUGGGCGCAAGCCUGAUCCAGCCAUACCGCGUGGGUGAAGAAGGCCUUCGGGUUGUAAAGACCUUUUGUUGGGAAAGAAAAGCAGCAGGUUAAUACCCCGCUGUUCUGACGGUACCCAAAGAAUAAGCACCGGCUAACUUCGUG